ACGGCAAGAAUAAGGGUUUAUUUGGAGCUCGCGUUUCUCCUCACUCACCCCAUUUUUCUCUUUGCAGCUGCGAAGAGAUUCAGAGAGAGACGCAGGUAGAGAUAGAAUCCCGACUCUGUCUCUAUCUGUCGACAACAAUCGAACAUCCUCCAUCUCAAUCCUCUCCGUUUUCUCCGCCAUCAACGAUUCUUUCUGUCUUAAUCUCUCUUUCUCUCUCUCCUAAUCCCUCUCUUUGACGCUCAACAACGAAUUCGUCGGUCGAGUUAUGCAGGAAGAUAAGUCGGUGAUAAGUUUGAGACCAGGUGGUGGCGGUGGCGUUCGUGGAAGCAGAUUUGCUACUACUCGCUUCGAUUCAUCCUCUGCCGAUUCUUCGUCGCUUCGUCCUCAUGGCGGCGUUACGUUAACCCUUAAGACUGGAGAUCUACGGUUUGAAGGUCGUGAGCGAAUCCAGUACACUCGAGACCAGAUUCUGCAGCUUAGAGAGGUUGCAACAGUCCCUGAGGAUAUCUUGAAGGUCAAAUUAGAAGUCGAGACAGAGAUUUUUGGGGAGGAUCAAACAUGGGCUCGUGCUGAAAACAUUCAGCAAUCACAAUCUCAAGGUCGUUACUUUGAGCCAGACAAUCGAGAUUGGCGUGGUCGAUCUGGGCAGUUACCUGCCUCUGCAGAGGAAGGAUCUUGGGAUGCAAUUCGUGAGGAUAAGGAUUUAUCAGGUCAAUCUCAGUCGAGGUUGCAUGACUCUAAUAAUAGGAGUCAAGCUUCUGGUAACCAAGGGGUUGGUACUUCACCUGCCCUCAUCAAGGCCGACGUUCCUUGGUCAGUUAGAAGAGGUAAUAUCUCAGAAAAGGAACGUGUUUUGAAGACAGUGAAAGGUAUACUUAAUAAGUUGACUCCAGAAAAGUUCGACAUACUGAAGGGUCAACUGAUUGACUCUGGAAUUGUGUCCGCUGAUAUUUUGAAGGAGGUUAUAUCACUUUUAUUUGAGAAGGCCGUGUUUGAGCCCACAUUUUGCCCUAUGUAUGCACUUUUGUGCUCUGACCUUAAUGACAAGCUUCCUCCAUUCCCAUCUGAUGUUCCUGGAGAGAAAGAUAUCACUUUUAAACGUGUUCUUUUAAACAUUUGCCAAGAGGCAUUUGAAGGUGCUGAGCACAUAAGGGCAGAAACCGGGCGGCUGACUGAUCCUGAGCAUGAAACGGAAAGAAGAGAUAAGGAAAGAAUGGUUAAGCUUCGAACUCUUGGAAACAUUCGCCUGAUAGGUGAGCUUCUUAAACAGAAGAUGGUGACUGAAAGGAUUGUUCACCAUAUUGUUCUGGAGCUGUUGGGGUCCGACAAUAACACAUGCCCUGCUGAGGAGAAUGUUGAGGCUAUUUGUCAGUUUUUUAACACAAUUGGCAAGCAGAUGGAUGAAAGCCCAAAAUCUCGGCGGGUCAAUGAUGUAUAUUUCAGCCGGUUGAAGGAGCUCGCUGCAAACACUCAACUAGCACCUAGGUUGAGAUUUAUGGUCCGUGAUGUUCUUGAUUUACGGGCCAAUAAUUGGGUUCCUAGGCGUGAAGAGGUGAAAGCAAAAACCAUCACUGAAAUUCAUUCAGAGGCUGAGAAGAAUCUAGGGCUUCGUCCCGGUUCAAUGGCAAUGAUGAGAAAUGGCCGUAAUGCUGAGGCACUUGGGGGACUAAGUCCUGCUGGAUUUCCUGUUGCUCGUCCUGGCUUUGGAGGUAUGAUGCCUGGAAUGCCUCCUGGAACGAGGAAAAUGCCUGGUAUGCCUGGACUUGAUUUGGACGAUUGGGAGGUGGUUCCUAGAUCCCGAUCAAUGCCAAGGGGUGAGCGUGCCCAGACGCCAUUAAUUGGCAAAACACCUUCCAUUAAUUCAAAAUAUCUACCUCAGGGAAGUGGUGGUGUAAUAACUGGGAAAACAAGCGCCUUGCUACAGGGCAGUGGUGCAUCUCCUGCACGAACAAGUCCCACGCCUGGAAUCCAGCCCAUCGCUCACAAUGCUAGACCAGUUCCUCCAGUUGCAUCCACCAUAUCCUCUCCUCAGAAGCCAACAGCUCCUGCUGUUGUAUCCAAUUCUGCUGAUCUUCACAAAAAAACCGUUUCACUGCUCGAGGAAUACUUCAGUGUACGGAUUCUCGAUGAAGCGCUACUGUGUGUAGAGGAGCUAAAAUCUCCAGCAUAUCACCCCGAGGUUGUUAAAGAAUCUCUUACCAUAGCACUUGAAAAGAUUCCACCAUGUGUAGACCCAGUUGUUAAGCUUCUUGACCACCUGCUUCACAAGAAUGUCUUCACUGCAAAGGAUAUCGGUACCGGGUGCCUUCUUUACGGGUCCAUGAUGGAUGAUAUAGGCAUCGAUUAUCCGAACGUGCCAAACUUUUUUGGUGAUACCCUCGGGAAGUUAAUAUUGAUCGGGGGUUUGGAUUUUUCUGUCGUGAAGGAGAUCCUGGAGAAGCUUGAAGAUAACUAUUUCCAGAAGUCCAUUUUUGGUAGUGUUAUGAAGAUCCUCAACUCGAGCCCUUCUGGAGAAGGAAUUCUGGCAACUCAAAGUGUUGAAAUCCAAGCAUGUGAGAAUUUACUUGCGUGAAUUGGGUCAUGUGGGAUUCAUUUCCCAUUACGUUUUUGAUCAAAAAUUUUCGUUUCGUCACGAAAGACGUUUAACCGAUCCGUUUUAUUGAGCUGUACAUUUCUUCUUUUUUCGAGUUCUACCAUCAACUUUGUUAAGUAAUUAGGAGCUUGGAUUUCUCUCGCUUCCCCGUCGAAGUCGUCUCAGGUGGCACGAGAAUGACAGGAAUUCAGAACUUUUGCCUACUGAAUGGUACAACAAAAGCUCGAUGAGUUGGUCGGGAGGGUGGGCAGGUAUUUGAGGAGUUCCCGACAUUUGGGUUGAUGAUAUAUAUUUUAACCAGUUGACUAAUACCUAUGUUGAGACGUUACUAUUCCAUUAAAUUGGUCGACUUCGAUCGUUUUUCU